rnacentral:rRNA from 1 species
GAGGAAUAUUGGUCAAUGGACGGAAGUCUGAACCAGCCAAGUAGCGUGCAGGAUGACGGCCCUAUGGGUUGUAAACUGCUUUUGUAUGGGGAUAAAGUUAGGGACGUGUCCCUAUUUGCAGGUACCAUACGAAUAAGGACCGGCUAAUUCCGUGCCAGCAGCCGCGGUAAUACGGAAGGUCCGGGCGUUAUCCGGAUUUAUUGGGUUUAAAGGGAGCGUAGGCUGGAGAUUAAGUGUGUUGUGAAAUGUAGACGCUCAACGUCUGACUUGCAGCGCAUACUGGUUUCCUUGAGUACGCACAACGUUGGCGGAAUUCGUCGUGUAGCGGUGAAAUGCUUAGAUAUGUCGAAGAACUCCGAUUGCGAAGGCAGCUGACGGGAGCGCAACUGACGCUGAAGCUCGAAGGUGCGGGUAUCGAACAGGAUUAGAUACCCUGGUAGUCCGCACAGUAAACGAUGGAUGCCCGCUGUUGGUACCUGGUAUCAGCGGCUAAGCGAAAGCAUUAAGCAUCCCACCUGGGGAGUACGCCGGCAACGGUG